GAGGAUUAGGGAACCUUAAAAAACAAGAAUCCCAGGUCACUCUAGUUAUAACAAUUCCUCUGAACUGCUUGAAUCAAACAAACAUAAAAGUUUAAUUCCACUCUUUUUACCUGGAAUUCCAAAUCACCCUCUGGAAGCAUAUCUUAGUGUUCUCACAACGGGUUUGUGGCCUUAACGGAAAAAUAGAAUGAUUCUUAAGUCUACUUUUUAGAUUCUUGGAGCCCUCUGCAUCACGAGGCCCUUUAAGUGUUUCCUUGAAUCCUCGCACCAACUCAGGGAAGUAGGUGUUACAUCCUCAUUUCACACAUGAGGAAACUGAGGCUCACCAGAGUUCAAUUACUUGUGUGCGGUCAUAUCGUGUGAGGGGAGAAGGCAGGACCUGAACCUGGCAGUUUGCUCUGCAGAAUUGACCUUCCCGUCUGCAAGGCCAUGACAGCUCUGAAAAGGUGAACGUAGAAGAGUGGGGGCUCCAUCUUUCACCCAGGAACCCUCCUGCCGCCAGUGACCCUAAGUGUGCAGGCUGAGCUUCCACAGGGCUGUGGUGCUGGGCCAUAGGGCAAAGCCAGGAGGGAGAGCUGGGAACAACUGGAACAAGCAGGAAGCUUCUCUUAGGAACAAGCUCCUCUGCUCAACCCUCCAGGCUGGACACGUUGGAGGAGAGAGGGCUCCAGGCGAGGAAAGCAGAUGACUUGAGCAGAUGACUUGGUCUGUCAUAGCGCAUGCACAAGCCCACCGUCAGAGCAGCUGAAACACACAGGCACUGAAAGGCACUGUAGGAGGACAUUUGUGACAGCGUGGUGAUGAAUUCGUGACGAGGCGGCAGCGUAGACUUGAAACAGGUCCACGUGUUUCUCUGCAUUUAGCCAAGACCAAACCAGAACGCACGCCCCUGGACGCGCAGCUGGAUGCAUGAAACAAAGAGGUUUUCUAUUUUGUCAUGAAAGGGACAUAAUUUGGGGGGAAAAGCCCUGCCCAAACCAGAAGUUCAGUUUGCGUUUGUUUCAGCCAAACUGCUUCAAGCCUGGUCACAGACUUCUGUGGACCUCGAUUGUUGCAGAAAUGUUUUUUAAAAAGCCUUUUAGGUUUUGUUAAACCUCUCCAGAAGUUUAUUUCAAAAUAAAGGAGUUACUAACACAGCUUUUCCAACGUUAGAUCAUAUUGUAAAGAACUCAUACAAUUCACUAGCAAAUAAAAAAAAUCGAUUAAAAUAUAGGCAGAGGAUCUGAAUAGACAUUUUUCCAGAGAAGACACACAGAUGGCCAAGAGGCA
rnacentral:lncRNA from 1 species